ensembl:lncRNA
GCUUGGUCAAAUAACAUCAGGGUUAACAUGUGGUUAUCUGUUCUGUAGCUGCCCAGACAGGGGCGGGUGGAUGAAGCAGAAAAAUAACUGGUUGGUGAUGUUAUUUUAAGGCAGAGCUGAUACCAACAAGGGGCUUUAGAGAACACAUAUCUGUGAGGAUGAAGACUUUGAGUGCUGCUCUUGUUUUGCUGAGUCUCAUCUCAGUGGGCCAGCCUGCAUCGCUGGCCUGUGAGAAGCUGUUAAAGCCAGUCGACCAACGUCCAGAUCUGAUUGGGAGGUGGCACUUUAUAGCUGUGUCCACAGAGUUUUGCCUGUCUUCAACAUUAGUCAGUGCUUUAUUUUCCCCAAGUGCCGCAGUGGAUGUAAUUUCUAAGGGCGAACCAAACCUCUAUGGUGAUACUACUUAUUUGAAAGCGAAUGGAGUUUGUAUCAAUGGAACCUCAAGAUUUCUCUAUGCAAACAGCAGCAUAUUUGAACUCGACAGUGAAAAUGCCACAGUUGAUCAACCAGACGUGCUGCUGCACACUGGCUGUCCUGACUGCCUCGUCUCUAAAGAGGAUAAAAGUCAUCUUUUGCUCUUCAGUAGACGAACAGCUGUUUCUGCUGCUGAGCUGACGGAGUUUGAGACACAGGCAGAGUGUCUGGGAUGGUCUAAACCCCAACUCCUCAACACUGAUCAUGGUGAGACUUUUACAGCAACCAAAAAAAAAAAGGAACAGAUAGCACAUAUGUAAAUGAUCCUCUUUCUUCUUUCAAAAAUGUGUUUUUAUGUCUUUUGGGCAGCAUGAUGAUUUUAUGAUGGUGUAGCACACUCUGUGUCACUUUUGAGUGUGCAUAUAUAAAUCAGUUUAAGUUUUAACAUUUCAUUGUCAUUUCCUUUCCUAUAUUCCAUAUACAGAUUAUGAAAAGUGUGUGCAAUUUGACGAAGAUAUGGAUGAGGAUAAAUUAAGCGAAGUGCUUCUGAGUUUCUUUCAGAAGACGCUUGAAAGGAUGAAAACCACAUAUCACUUGUUAACCAAAUGCAUGGCAGAGGGUUUUAUUUCAUAUUACCCCUCAUUGUUUUAAGAACUAAAUGUCCAGUGCAUGCUGAACUUUAUUUUCAUAUCUAAAUAUGACUUUUAAUCUAUAUAUGAAUGCCUCUUUUAAUUACUGAAUUGAGCUUUUUUUUCUUCAUUUAGAAGAAAAAGUUUUUUAAAUAAAAGUCUGUACGUCCAUGUAUGUUAAAAAUUUCUUUGCAAUUUAUGUGUGAGGCCAUAGCCAUGCUAGCAGUUCUAUGAGGCUCCAUAUAGACAUCAGUGUUUCGAACCAUGUAAUACAAAUAACAAACAACUAAAUAUCAAUGAUAGGAUAAUAGUGCAAACCAGGUAUUAUGUUUACCAUGAUAAUUUGUGGUGUAACUGUUAAAAAACAAUCACAGAUUGGUUUGUAACCUAUUUUGGAACCACAUUUGAUGCAUUUAUUUUAGGUUCUAAAUUUCUUUUCUUAGUUUUGUCUUAUUUUAAGUUUCAUAUAGCCAGAAAUUGGUGCUUUUAGCUCUUAAAAGACUCCUUGGCUCCAACAUUUGAACAGAAAUGAUGGCUUAUUGUAACUGUUGUUGUAAAAUCAAAAGUAAAAGGAUAAAAACAGAUAUUAUUGUUUUUAUAUUUUCCACAAAUUCUUAACAGUAAGUUGCUUUUCUUUGCUUUUACAUUUCAAUAAAUAUUUCUCAAAUCCUUAUGAGCUAUAUGGAUUGUCAUUUAGAACACCAAGAAUUUUGGUUUAUUAUCUUUAUGUUUGUUGUGAUUUUUGCAGAGCUGCAAAGGUUUAGGAAAGUAACUUUGAGGUUUGAAUAGAAAAUGUGCAUAAAUUGUGCCGUGCAUUUAUGAGAAACCCAUGAAUCCAUUCUCUUCCACUGGGCUGGAGGUUAUCUCUGAUUUAAAAAAAAUAUUUUUAUAGUUAUUUUUGUUUGUGAAAUAAUGGCAUCAUGGUCACAUUCGCUAUGGCCAUCUGCACUAUUCUUUUCUUUUCUUGUUACAAAAGAUGACCCAGUUUUCCUGCAGAGAAACUUCAUAAUGAAGAGAAAUUUUAAGUGCAUUAUAAUUCCUCUUAUAACCAAUUCAUAAACAGCUUGUGCUUUCAAACACAAUGCUCCAGCUUUUUUGAACAAUUUACAAAACUUAAUGUGAACACUGAAAUGGGAGUGUGGCAUGGACUUUAAUGUUGCUUAUUCUUCCAUAAUCAGGAUAAAUCACAUAUGUUCAAC